rnacentral:rRNA from 1 species
UACGAAGGUGACAAGCGUUGUUCGGAAUCAUUGGGCGUAAAGCGCACGUAGGCGGGUUAGUAAGUCGAUUGUGAAAACCCUGGGCUCAACCCGGGACCUGCAGUUGAAACUACUAGUCUUGAAUGCUCGAGAGGAUGGUGGAAUUCCAGGAGUAGAAGUGAAAUUCGUAGAUAUCUGGAGGAACACCGGAGGCGAAAGCGGCCAUCUGGCGAGACAUUGACGCUAAGGUGCGAAAGCGUGGGGAUCAAACAGG